GAACCCGGGGAACUGAAACAUCUAAGUACCCGGAGGAAGAGAAAGAAAUUCGAUUCCGUAAGUAGCGGCGAGCGAACGCGGAACAGGCCAAACCAGUGAAGUUUUCUUCACUGGGGUUGCGGACAUAUCAUAACGAAGAGGCUAUUGUAGACGAAGAGAGUUGGAAAGCUCCGCUAUAAAGUGUAAAAGCCACGUAGUCAAAACAAGAAGACUUCAGAUAUGAUCCAGAGUACCACGGGACACGUGAAACCCUGUGGGAAGCAGGAGGGACCAUCCUCCAAGCCUAAAUACUACCUAGUGACCGAUAGCGUAUAGUACCGUGAGGGAAAGGUGAAAAGAACCCCGGGAGGGGAGUGAAAUAGAACCUGAAACCCUACACUUACAAGCUGUAGGAGCACAUUAUUUGUGUGACUGCGUACUUUUUGUAGAACGGGCCAACGAGUUACGUUACCUAGCAAGGUUAAGCACUUAAGGUGUGGAGCCGCAGCGAAAGCGAGUCUUAACUGGGCGUAUAGUUAGUUGACGUAGACCCGAAACCGGGCGACCUAUCCAUGGGCAGGUUGAAGCGAAAGUAAAAUUUCGUGGAGGACCGAACCCACGAGCGUUGAAAAGCUCGGGGAUGACCUGUGGAUAGCGGUGAAAUUCCAAUCGAGCCCGGAGAUAGCUGGUUCUCUCCGAAAUAGCUUUAGGGCUAGCCUCAAGAUUUAGAGAAACGGGGGUAGAGCACUGAAUGUCCUAGGGGGUAUUGCACUUACCGAAGACUAUCAAACUCCGAAUACCGUAUUCUUAUGCUUGGGAGUCAGACUGUGGGUGAUAAGAUUCAUAGUCAAAAGGGCAACAGCCCAGAUCGUCAGCUAAGGUCCCUAAAUGUACGUUAAGUGGUAAAGGAUGUGGGAUUGCACAGACAACCAGGAUGUUGGCUUAGAAGCAGCCACUCAUUUAAAGAGUGCGUAAUAGCUCACUGGUCGAGUGAUCCUGCGCCGAAAAUUUCCGGGGCUAAAACGUACUACCGAAGCUACGGCAUCAUUUAUGAUGGGUAGGAGA
rnacentral:rRNA from 1 species